GCCGACAAUCCAUCGAGUUUUUUUUUAAAUUCUCUUUUAGAUAUCGUAAACAAUAAUCAUGAACAGCAUCAGAAAAUGAUGUCCUCACACCCUUUGUCAAGCCUUUUGCUCUGUCUGAAAUAAAACAUAAUUGAUGAUAGUAAGGAUCUUCAUUGUUAUAAAUUGCAUCAUGUAGUUUGUCACAAAACCAAAUCUAGUUGUAAUCAUUCUCCGCACUCACAAU
rnacentral:lncRNA from 1 species